rnacentral:lncRNA from 1 species
GAAAGUCUUUCACAGCAAGUUCAAGCCAUUACAGAUGAAGAAAACUUGGAAAAAUCAGCUUCCCCAGAAUCGGAUAAUAAACAAAGACCGGAUGGCUGCCCUCCUGAGUUGUGCGUGUCCACUCUGUUCCUUAACAUUGAUCAAAUCUCAAAGGAAGCAGAUGAAAAUGAGUGUUGUAUAUGUCUAGAUAACAGGUCGGAGGUCAUCCUCAGUUGUACGCAAAGCUAUUGCCAAAUGUGUAUUGAUCAUUAAUAUGUACUGACAAAAUUAAAUUACUGCAGAAAGGCGAAACACAGUACGUGUCCUCAGUGUCGGGAUGAGACGGGAGGAGUGGAAGACGUGUGGGUGAUGUCAGACAAACCCGAUGACAAGGAGGUAGCAAACUAUGUUGUAGGGGUUGCAGAUACUGCCCAGCAUUUGGAUGUUGGCUAAUUUUUUAUUUUCCCUAUAACUUUUAUUAAAAUGUUAUACUAUAAACUAUAUAAUAUAUUGUAUACAUACAGUACACGUAAUAAACCUUGCAAUAAUGUGUCUGGAUGUUAAUAAUAAUAAUUAAUUACGUGGAACUUCAUUGAUCUGUUUCCAAAGCAAUUGUAUUUCACUUGAGGUUUAGCAUAAUAUACAUAAAGAUAUUGGUUGUCUGUAACAGAUGUAUUACACACAUUUAUGAUAUGAUUAUACUAUCUAAAUUUAUAUAUUCUUUGUUGAGUCCAUUACGACAAUAGACGAAUUAUUUUAAUUAUUGAAUUUUCAGUCUUUGUAGGAACCAAUAUUUCUUGACCAAAUAUUUUUGAAAGCAGACGACGUCUUUAAAUUUAUAAGUGAUUUGGUGCAGUGAGAAUGGUUUUGUUUCCCAACCUCGAGGUCAGGAUUUCAAUCCCUCACUGUACUUACCGCUUGUGUCCUCGAUCAAAGCACUUUAUCUGCAUUGCUUCCCUCCACCAAGGAGUAUAAAUGAGUACCUGGUCCUGCACUGAUUGCAGCAGCAAGACUUGAGCAUCUGGACUCAAUGACCAGACGAAAGCUUUUCGUAUCUGCAAAGAGAGGCACUAUGUAGAUAACCAAAUAGAUUUUAAAAUAAUUGCAAUAAAACCUUAGAAUACGCACAAUGGUGCAGGUUUCCUCCAACGAGGGUCUUGUGCCACUGGACCUCUGCUGGUACCGCCACAGCCUGUAAGAUACAGGUUCAAUUCCAGUCUGUCAACUGUAUGUGUUUUUAGAAAAUGGCAUUUAUUCAUGUUUUCUUUCUCUAUCCAGUCGGAUCGUGGGGGGUUGAAAAUGCAAGGUGCCAUUUACUUGAUGCAAUAUUAUGCCUAUUUAGCUGAGUAUAUUUGUUAUAAACAUUUCUUCCAAUAAUAAUUUAUAGGUGUUUACAGGCCUUGGUAAUAAUGUAAAAGCUGAAAUAAGUUGUAAUUAUUUUUGUGCUGUCAAACACUUGAUCAAAAAUGAUUUCAUUUUUAUUUGAUUGGUCACAAUGGUAUGAUAUCAUAAAUGGUUGAGUUGCUAAACAUUCCUUUUUUUGUAAAUAAGCAAUUAAAAGAUACACUCUGUUAAAAUGUGUUAAAAAAUAAACAUGUUUAAAUUAAAGAUACACUGCCUGCCAAAUAAUCAGAAAUCUGAAAAUUUAUAUUAAAACUUAAAAAAGCUCAUUUGAAAGGAUAAAUUAAGUUAUUAGCUUCAAAAAUGUUACUGAUUUCAGACAUGUUACUACAAAACCUUGAAAUUGAUUACCUGCCAAAAUAGGGUUUAUGUAAAAAAGUACAAGAAAAGUAUUAUUUACAUGUUUGUAAAUUCAUUUAAAUUUUCAUUCUGAUUUUGUAAGUUAAUAACUUUAUCCAAAUUGACUAUAAUUAGAAUAUAGAAUUUUUCAUUUUUCAGAUCAUGACAGACAAUAGAUCUUUAAUGUAUUUUUAUUGAUUUAUUUAUUAAUUUGGCAUCAUUGCAAAAACAGGUAACCCAUUGUCUAUGGAAAGAUGUGUGACUCACUGAAACAAUACAAUAAUAAUGAAUUAAGUGAUCCAAAAACAAAAUAUAAAGAACGAUUGAUGAAAAACUAUGAUUUAUCAUUGAAAAGCAGGUUUACUGACUACUGUCUUUCAAUACCGUUCACUGAACAUUAUUUCAAACAAUAUACAGUAGAUUUAGAAUGUAGGUGCAGUAGUUCUAUUUUUAUUCCAUAUAAAGUUAGUAUUUAAUCUAUAUAAAAUUAAUAAAACAGACAACAAUGUGUAUGCAACAAUACUGUAGUACACAUUGUAAUAUUUUGUUGUUUGUAUUUGAAGUCCACAUCUUUAAAUGAAACAUAAACAUAACAAGUUGCAAGUGGAAGCCUGUGGCAGUGGCAAUUCAAAGGGGGGUGGGGAGAAAGCAACCAACCUCCCCUCCCCCCUAAAUGUUUUUUUAUAUUUUUUUCCAAAGUGGAUAAAAAGAAAAUUAUAUUCAAAUUGUAAGUCUGAGAAUGCCAUUUCCGGCCAUUUACAGGUGCCAUAAUCAAUGCCGUAGCCAG